CCCAGCUGUAGGCAACUGCCUAGGUUGCAUUGUACCUAAGCAAGUGUUCCACUGCUGGGAGAAAAGCAGCCAAUAGCUGGCAGGCAUU
ensembl:snoRNA SNORA74 Small nucleolar RNA SNORA74